rnacentral:rRNA from 1 species
CCUACGGGAGGCAGCAGUGGGGAAUAUUGCACAAUGGGGGAAACCCUGAUGCAGCGACGCCGCGUGAGUGAAGAAGUAUCUCGGUACGUAAAGCUCUAUCAGCAGGGAAGAAAAUGACGGUACCUGACUAAGAAGCCCCGGCGAACUACGUGCCAGCAGCCGCGGUAAUACGUAGGGGGCAAGCGUUAGCCGGAUUUACUGGGGGUAAAGGGAGCGGAGACGGCAGCACAAGUCUGGAGUGAAAUCCCGGGGCGUAACCCCGGAACUGCUUUGGAAACUGUGCGGCUGGAGUGCAGGAGGGGUAAGCGGACUUCCUCUUGUAGCGGUGACAUGCGUAGAUAUUAGGCGGCACCCCGGUGGCGCAGGCGGCUUACUGGACUGUAACUGCCGUUGCGGCUCGAAAGCGUGUGGAGCAAACAGGAUUAGAUACCCCUGUAGUC